UGGGGAAUAUUGCACAAUGGGCGCAAGCCUGAUGCAGCCAUGCCGCGUGUGUGAAGAAGGCCUUCGGGUUGUAAAGCACUUUCAGCGGGGAGGAAGGCGAUAAGGUUAAUAACCUUGUCGAUUGACGUUACCCGCAGAAGAAGCACCGGCUAACUCCGUGCCAGCAGCCGCGGUAAUACGGAGGGUGCAAGCGUUAAUCGGAAUUACUGGGCGUAAAGCGCACGCAGGCGGUCUGUCAAGUCGGAUGUGAAAUCCCCGGGCUCAACCUGGGAACUGCAUGCGAAACUGGCAGGCUAGAGUCUUGUAGAGAGGGGUAGAAUUCCAGGUGUAGCGGUGAAGUGCGUAGAGAUCUGGAGGAAUACCGGUGGCGAAGGCGGGCCCCUGGACAAAGACUGACGAUCAGGUGCGAAAGCGUGGGGAGCAAACAGG
rnacentral:rRNA from 1 species